UAGUGGUACAACUGCCCCAAGAGAGUUUGUGUUACAGCAAGAGGACUGGAGGAACGCUCUCAUUCCAGACUGGAUUUUACCCUGUCAUUUGCAGGCAGAGAGUUGCAAGCAACUCACUUGAACUGUGAAUGAAGCUGCAAAUGCCAGAAUUUGGUCAGAAAAACCUGAACCUUUCAUUGUGCAAGUAACUCCCAAGAUUACAAAAGGAAAGUAAGCCCCACGGCCAGCCCAUCUGACGCAAGGAGAGUGACAUCCGGACAUGUUUAGAGAAUCAACACCUCCAACCCAGCUUCGUGCUGCCAGGAGCUUUUUCCUGUUUGGAUUCAAAUGUAAAGACACCUGGGAUCAAACGCAAAUGAUCUCUUUCGAUUUCAUCCACGGUGACGUCAGGUGAGAGGUUAUGGUGACAAAGGUAAUUUUGGCCAGGGAAACUGUCUACCUUCAUCCUUGAGCCUACACGUCUCUCCUCCACACCUCCUUUGACAAGGAAAUAGCAGUGCUGUGAUAGUAAAUCGUAAAACAUUGCAUUUGUAAGGAUCUGUUUCUGCUUUGAGGAACCCUAAAAUACCUAACAGACAUUUGCACAGUCCUGAUUGACUUCAGAUUGAGAGCAGCCAGCAAUAAUACAUCGCAGUAGGCAGCAAGCUAUAGGAACAUAAUUUCUGACAGAAGUAGUAAGGAGAGAUUGAUAAGGAAUAAGUUGCCUGGGCUAGUACAUAAAAUUUAACAUUACUGCUCACAUAUAUAUAUUUUUAUAUAUAUAUAUGUAUAUAUAUACAC